rnacentral:tRNA from 1 species
GGAGAGAUGCCGGAGCGGUCGAACGGGGCGGUCUCGAAAACCGUUGUGCCUUUAUAGGUACCGAGGGUUCGAAUCCCUCUCUCUCCGCCA